rnacentral:ncRNA from 1 species
CUUCAGGGCAGGGUGAAAUUCCCGAUCGGCGGUAAAGUCCGCGAGCCAAAUGGCACGAGCCGUUGAAACUACGGCACCGACAGUACAGUCUGGAUGAAAGAAG